AAAAUAUUUGUUCCUAUUAACGAGUAUGGUAUUCAUUGGACAUUGCUGGUAAUUGACAAAUCUAAGAAAAUACGAUACUUCAUUGACCCCAUGAAUGGACAAAAGGAAAUAACAAUUGAUUUUCAAACACACCCGCAUCUUAUGGACCUUAUAGACAAGAUAAGUGAAAUUGCUGACAUGAAAACUGGUUGGCAUUCUCAAUUUUGGUCAUGUAUCGAGCCAUUACAUUUCUCACAGCAGGACAGCUU